AGUGAACGCUGGCGGUAGGCCUAACACAUGCAAGUCGAACGGCAGCACAGUAAGAGCUUGCUCUUACGGGUGGCGAGUGGCGGACGGGUGAGGAAUACAUCGGAAUCUACUUUUUCGUGGGGGAUAACGUAGGGAAACUUACGCUAAUACCGCAUACGACCUACGGGUGAAAGCGGGGGAUCUUCGGACCUUGCGCGAUUGAAUGAGCCGAUGUCGGAUUAGCUAGUUGGCGGGGUAAAGGCCCACCAAGGCGACGAUACGUAGCUGGUCUGAGAGGAUGAUCAGCCACACUGGAACUGAGACACGGUCCAGACUCCUACGGGAGGCAGCAGUGGGGAAUAUUGGACAAUGGGCGCAAGCCUGAUCCAGCCAUACCGCGUGGGUGAAGAAGGCCUUCGGGUUGUAAAGCCCUUUUGUUGGGAAAGAAAAGCAGCAGGUUAAUACCCCGCUGUUCUGACGGUACCCAAAGAAUAAGCACCGGCUAACUUCGUG
rnacentral:rRNA from 1 species